rnacentral:rRNA from 1 species
AGGGGCAACUCUGGUUCAGUGGCGGACGGGUGCGUAACACGUGAGGAACAUGACCUUCGGCGGGGGAUAGCCGGCCCAACGGCCGGGUAAUACCGCGUACGACCACUUUGGGACAUCCCUCGGUGGUGAAAGCAGCAAUGCGCCGAUGGAGUGCCUCGUGGCCUAUCAGCUAGUUGGUGAGGUAACGGCUCACCAAGGCGACGACGGGUAGCUGGUCUGAGAGGAUGAUCAGCCACACUGGGACUGAGACACGGCCCAGACUCCUACGGGAGGCAGCAGUGGGGAAUCUUGGACAAUGGGCGCAAGCCUGAUCCAGCCAUGCCGCGUGAGUGAAGAAGGCCUUAGGG